rfam:Anaerococcus prevotii ACS-065-V-Col13 contig00019, whole genome shotgun sequence.
UAUGGUGAUGAUGGCAUAAGGGAUACACCUGUUCCCAUACCGAACACAGAAGUUAAGCCUUAUAACGCCGAUGGUACUCGGAGGGCAACCUCCCGGGAGACUAGGUAGUCGCCAAAC